UGAUGGUGAUGAUGAUAAUUUUUGAGCAUACGUUUGAAUCUCUCCCAAACUUGGUCGAUAUUUUCUCCAUCUUUAUGUCUAAAACUCAAGAUGUCAUCCUCCAUCG
rfam:Capsicum annuum cultivar Zunla-1 chromosome 8, whole genome shotgun sequence